GUUGGUGAUUCCGAGUAACUCGCUCCCCUGGCAUUUCCGGUUCCCACUUCCGUUCAGUUUUAGAGCGGCGCUGGUGGCGCGUGCAUUGAGGCCAAUUGGCGCCGGAGAUCGCGUAAAGUGAUCGCAGUAUUUAGCUGGUGGCUGAAUGUGUAUGUAUGUUGAGCCCCGGUACCUGUGAGUAAUCAUACAACUUCGCAUCUGGUGUUUGUUCAAUCUAAUGGAGCCAGUGAGUCUUGGUGGGACAGGGGAGGCUAGCUGCAUUUAUACGGUGGUGUGCUUCACAGCGUGCUCAGUGUGCCAACACAACAACUUCCUUAUGGUGUAGGUAGUAUGUGAUUUUUUGGUGUGAUUUGCAGUGGGUUUGGAUGAUCUCCUGAGUUGUAGCUGGCCUGCCUUGUCCCUGCCAAGCCUGGGCCUGGAGAAGUUCUUAGUUAUUAAAAUACUUGCUGUGCUUCAGGGGAAAGUGAUUUUAUAUUUUCAUGUCAAGUUUUAAAUGAUGCUUAAGUGUCAUAAUAAAAUACAAAUUUUUAUAUUAGUACUCAUGUCUCCCUCAUGUUCCUUGCCCCGAUUGGUGAAACUUCUGUGUGCCUUUUAUUUGGGAGUGUUUCCCUGGUUCUCCCCCAGGGUGGCGCAGUUGGAUUUACUGAAUUUUUGAUGACUGUUUUCCCUUCACAUUGAAAAUGCCACACAACAAUAUAUUGGUUAUGGUAGGUGUGAAUAUGGAAAAGAUGUACUGUAUGGGCAACCCUUUGUUUUGUUUUUCAGUUGUUUUCCAGAAAAUAGAAAAGCAAAUACAUGGUGUGAUCACUUAUUAAUGAUUAGAAGCUUCUCUAUUUUGAGCUCAACCAAAGAGAUCACAGUCCUUUUCUACUGGCUCACAAGUCCAAGGUUCAUGUAUUCACAAAUUAAAAUUCACCUAGAUAAAGCUGAAAUGAAACUAAUAUACCUGCUACUAGGUGCCUGCAAAAUUAAGGUGCCUUAGUAAGGUGUUGUGGACCAUUAGCCACCAGAACUUUCUAAAACUACUGGAGGUAUGAAUACUCUGAAUAAUACCAAGUAAUAAAUAAAUAUAGGUACUGCAUGUUGUUAAGAAAUACAGUGUUUGUUAUAAAUGUUGCCAUUUUAAUGCUAAAUGCAUGACUAAUAAACAUCCUGUUGAAUUCUGUCGUUAUAUGGAGUUGAUAUAACCACAAGCGUAACUUCCUUAGUCUAAGGAGAAAGUUACAUGAUGGCGGCAGCAAUGCAGCUUGUCGUCUUUCUCUUCAUGCUGGCUCCAAUCACAGGUAAACUAAUCUUCUAAAGUCUUUCUAACUGAAGAAGGUAAAGUAUUUGAUACAGUAUACUAUAACCUACACUGAGCUUUACAUAGCAGACUGUGUUAAAAAAAACAAACAAAAAAAAAAAACAAUAAUAUGAUCCAUUAUGUGAUGCACUGUUCAAAGUUAGUG
ensembl:lncRNA